rnacentral:lncRNA from 1 species
GGCGCAUCUGGAGUCUGUCCCUUUUUGUUCAGAUGUGUUCGGAGUUUCUUCCUUCUGGUGGGUUCGUGGUCUCGCUGGCUCAGGAGUGAAGCUGCAGACCUUCACGGUUGAGUGUUACAGCUCUUAACGCAGCGCUUGUGGAAUUGUUCGUUCCUCCCGGUGGGCUCGUGGUCUGGCUGGGCUCAGAAAUGAAGCUGCAGAUUUUCACGCUUCCAGAAGGAUAAAAAAGGAAGAAGCAAAAAGCCACUUAUACCUCUGUUUCCAAAACAUGAUGUCACUAUAAUGAAGACAAGCAACAGGACCACAGAGAGAUGCCUUCAUUCAGCCUCAAGAAAUUCUAGAAGAAAACAGAAGAUGACACAUGUGGAUUGGUCCUCAUGCAUCCUGAUGGCCAGCUUCUGGCACAAACACUGAUUUUUAUUUGGCACCUAACUCACUGUCAGUUCAUAGGACCUGAAUGUGACCCAUGGGUUAACUAAUCACUAUGUUGCAUUUUCCCUGUCCACAAAUGAAGGUGGCUAGUAACUCAAGCUGGUCAAAUCAGAGUGACUCUCACAGCAUGCUGCCAGGAAAGUUACUUGUGUGCUGCAGACUUAAAUGUUGCUGACGCUCAUGCUGCUGCAGCCAUCCUGCCACUAUGAAGACACUGUCUCGGCUGAAGCCAGGCUAGGGGGCAGACGAAGCCUUGAGGUAGAGAAAUUUUGAGUACUGAUGACAUUAUUUGAGGCCCUAGACCAGAUUAUGGCUAAAUCUAGUCCUAUUUCAACCUUUUGAGUAAUACUGUGUUUUUAUUAUGCCACUUGGGGUAAAUUACAAGGAAGUGUUUUAGCUGUUACAGUAACAAAAAAAAAUAAGCAUCAGAGCCAUGCUGAUAGAUCAGCUCCAAUGAAUCUAGUGUUUCAUUAGGAGAAGGAAACAAAGAGACUACCCAGUCUAGAGUUUCUUCCUUCUGGCGGGUUCUUGGUCUCGCUGACUUCAAGAAGGAAGCCACAGCUCUUCGUGGUGAGUGUUACAGCUCUUAAAAGUGGCACAGCCCCAAAAAGUAACCAACAGCAAAAUUUAUCAUGAACAGCAAAAGAACAAAGCCCCCACAAGCAUAGAAGGUGACCUGACCGAGUUGCCACUGCAGGCUACUAGCCAGCUUUUAUUCCCUUAUUUGUCCCCACCCACGUCCUGCUGAUUGGUCCAUUUUACAGAGCACUGAGUGGUCCAUUUUACAGAGCACUGAUUGGUCCAUUUUACAGAGUGCUGAUUGGUCCAUUUUACAGAGUGCUGAUUGAUGCGUUUAUAAUCCUUUAGCUAGACACAGUGUGCUGAUUGGUGCGUUUUUACAGAGUGCUGACUGGGGCAUUUACAAUCCUUUACCUAGACAAGGAGUGCUGAUUGGUGCGUUUUUAGAGAGUGCUGAUUGGCACAUUUAUAAUCCUUUAGCUAGACACAGAGCACUGAUUGGUGCGUUUUUAGAGAAUGCUGAUUGGUGCAUUUACAAUCCUUUAGCUAGACACAGAGUGCUGAUUGUUGCAUUUUUACAAAGUGCUGAUUGGUGCAUUUAUAAUCCCCUAACUAGACCCAGAGCACCGAUUGGUGUGUUUACAAUCCUCUAGCUAGACAGAAAAGUUCUCCAAAUCCCCACUCGACCCAGGAAGUCCCGCUGGCUUCACCUCUCACUACCACAAAUAAAGAACUAGCAUAAGCCAAACAUUUUAUAUUUAUUAAAACCUCUUUCCCUUCUGGGUUACAAUAUUAGUAUUUUGCUCCUAUUUCUGACCUUCAGAGUAAUAAUUAUAGAUCUGAGCUGCCCGGGGUUUGCCUGUAUCCUCCCUAGAUUAUAACAUUUUGUAUUCCUUUAUAUUUAGAUUUACUUUUUAGGCUAAUCUUAUGACACAUAGUGACACUCAGAAGCUCAGUGUUUACUAUUUGUCUUAUAAAGAAAUGAAAGCUCCAUUCAUAUGCAACUGUUCCAACUGUGUCCAGGUAUACUCAUUCAUGUAGUCAAUAAACAGUUAGUGGGAAGCCUCUCUAUUCUAGGCACUGUUGUCUGUACCGGAGACACAGCAGUGAGCAGAUAGGCAGACAUGCCUCCUCUUGAGGAGAUCAUAUGCUAGAGGAGGAGAUGGAUGAUACACAAGAAAAACACAUGAAAUUUAAGUAUGUUAGAUAGUGAAUUCCAUGAAAGGGAUCCCUGAGAUGGGUAGGGGCAUGGGUUACAACUUUACAUAAAGGGGACUGGGGAAGCCUCAUCAGGAAGGUGACAUUUAAGUAGAGACCUUAAUUAAGGAGGUCAGAAAGAAGAAACAUUGUAAGCAGAGAGAGUACAGAUGCAAAGGUCCUGUGGUGACAGCAUGCUGUGGACACUGUGUGUGCUCUAGGAACAGCAGGGAAGCCGCAUCAGUGGACCAGACAGAGUGAGGAGAGGGAACAGCAAUAAGAGGUCAGAUCAGAGAGUAUAUGGUGGAAAGUGAGUGGUGAAAGAAGGUAGCAGAUCCAGUAAAGCCAUACAGGCUAUAUGGAUCCAGGCUCUUUGUUUGUCUGUUUCCUUAAUGCGUAAAAAACAUUGGAAGUUAUAAGCCAAAGUGCCAUAAUCUAACUUACAUUUUAACAGGCUUACUGUGGCAGUGUUAGAAUAGACUUGAGGUCAAGAUCAGAAGGGAGAUCACACAAAAGAAUAUGACAAUAAUCCCAGUAAGGAAUUAUAAUGGCUUGGAUGGAGGUGGCAGUGAUGGAAAGGUUAAGGAUUUAUCAGAUUCUAAUAAAGACAGUGGAUAUCGACAACAUAUUCUGAUGAAGUCCAGAUGCCAUAAUGUAGAUGGAACUUCAUGAUCCAAGUGCCCUGGUCACUCCUUGCCUCUCAUGCCACAUUCCAGCCACCUUGACCUGCCUCCAUUUCCCCUGGCACCCUGCCCUCUCGCCCUAGCAGAUGCUAACCUGCCGUCACCCGGCAGGACUCAAGCUUGAAUUCACCUCCUCCAAGGAACCUUCAAAGCCCUCAUCACACUAGUUCUAUGUUUACUUGUCUACCCCCCACCACCCCAUUACACUUCCAGCUGCUUGAAAUUCUAUUCUUUGACUUGGUCAAGGUUACGUCCUUGUGGUUUAAACAGUGCUUGCCAUAAAAUCGACACUCAUAAAUCUCUGUUUAAUGAAUGAGUGAAAUCCCAUUUUUAUUUCGUGCUUUUAAAUUUACUUAAUUGCUCUUUCCUCAUUUGUAAAAUUGAGUAAUAACUUCCUUACUAAUUUUGUUGAUGUGAAGAUGUAAGUGUCCAAGAUAGAUACAGGCAGAGAAGAGGCACACAGGCAUUUCUAUAGCUUAACUCAUGGAUUUUCAGUUUAUACAACUAAGGAAGGCUGUCCUAUUUUGGCUGACUUUCUCUGCCUUUUGAAAAAAAUGUCUCCACUUUUUAUUUAAAGUGCUACUUUACAUUUUUGAAUGCUUACUUUACCUUUUAAAAUAUUAGCCGAAGGAUAGGGAAAAGACGUUGGAUUCAGUGAGAAACAAACCAAACUUUUGCAAGAGCUUUGCUUAUUCCAACAAAAACAGUACUGUGAAUCCCCCCAAAGGGAGAGUGGGUGCUGACCUAAUCUUGUUUGCUUUCCUCUUCAGUAUUCUUCCCUACCAGCCUCCCUGGGGGCCUUAAAAGGAAUUACCAAACUGCACAAAGAACUGCCUUGAUGGUCAUGCUUACUUGGUGUUUCUGGUCUAAUGGACGAGUGAUGUUGAAAUAACAGAAAAGUGCAUUUUUUCAUUUUUAUUUUGAUAGCUUAACAUUUUUAGGAAGUUUGUCUUCCUCUCCAAAGAAGUAUCACAUAGAAACAGCAAAUUGAUUGCUUAGUAGGAAAAAAAAAUACCAUCAUACUCCCCGGGAGAAACUGAAAUGAUCAUUAAUUUAAGUAAUUGUAGCCUCUAUUUGUUGGUAUUUACUAUAUAGGCUAAACAGGCACUGGGAUGAGUGAAUAUUCUCAUUUACCACCCACUCCCCUAGAAGUCUGUGAAAUGUAUACUGGUAUUAUCACCAUUUUGCAUGUAUGGAAUAUGAAGCUUAAAGUGAUAUAGUAGUAACUUGCCUAAGGUUACAUAGCCUUCUAAGCGGCAGAACCUAUAGACUAGUGACUCCAUGAUACACAUUUCACUCAAGAAGUGCCUUUUCAUUUGUAUCUUCCCAUUUUAUGAAUCUUAUAUCAAGGCUUUCCAUAUCAUUCUUCAAUUGCUAUGGUGGGUCCUCAAGACAAAGCAAGAGGGAGAGAAAAUUAGAUAAGUCACCUUUUUAAUUUUCCUUGGUCAUCAUGUAGACCAUGCUAGAGGAAUCUUCUUAAAACACUGCUUUCCUCUGACUCCUGCACUACACAUAAAGCACUGAUAACUCUAAUUGCCAAUAGAACAUAGGUCAUAAUUCUUUGUCUGACAUUCGAGGGUCUUCACCCUCUGCCCUGGUCUUCUUAUCUGGUAUUAUUUGGGCCUUAUACUCAAGGUCACAGCAUGAGUUUCUGUACUGAAAGGCUGCUCAGCUAUAUGCAAUGAGCCUGUUUUCAAAAGGCUUGAGCGCAAGUCCAUCUGUCUGCUCUCCAUUUUUUAAAUAUCCCUUGGGCUCUCUAAUUCCAUUCCCAUUUCAUCUCUCUUGAAUGCCUCCCUCUAUAAUUUGCCUAUUGAGAUCCUAUCAUAUUCAAAUGACUGCUCAAGCUAUUCAUCUUUAAUCAUGUCUUUCUGAAGCAAUUUCUCUUUUGUUCCACAUUCGAAAAAAAUUUACUCUGAACCAUAUAUUCAUGGUGCUACUCCCAUAUUGAUUUGAAUAGUAAC